UACGGAGGGUGCGAGCGUUGUCCGGAAUCAUUGGGCGUAAAGGGCGCGUAGGUGGCCCGGUCAGUUCGUGGUGAAAGCGCGGGGCUCAACCCUGCGUCGGCCAUGAAUACUGCCGCGGCUGGAGCACUGUAGAGGCAGGUGGAAUUCCGGGUGUAGCGGUGGAAUGCGUAGAGAUCCGGAAGAACACCGGUGGCGAAGGCGGCCUGCUGGGCAGUGGCUGACGCUGAGGCGCGACAGCGUGGGGAGCAAACAGG
rnacentral:rRNA from 1 species